AAUAAACCAAUUAUUUACUUUUUAUCUAUACUUUUUGACUAUACGUCUUAUUUAAAAAAUUUUACGAUUGAUAUUUUUAUUUUUAUUAGAUGAUAAAUCAUAAAUAUUACUUUACGUGUGACUAAUUUUUUUUAAUUUUUUAAAAAUUUUUCAAAUAAGACGGAUGGUUAAACGUCGGACACGGAAACC
rnacentral:pre_miRNA from 1 species